rnacentral:rRNA from 1 species
CCUACGGGAGGCAGCAGUGGGGAAUUUUCCGCAAUGGGCGAAAGCCUGACGGAGCAAUACCGCGUGAGGGAGGAAGGCUCUUGGGUUGUAAACCUCUUUUCUCAGGGAAGAUAAUGACGGUACCUGAGGAAUAAGCAUCGGCUAACUCCGUGCCAGCAGCCGCGGUAAUACGGAGGAUGCAAGCGUUAUCCGGAAUGAUUGGGCGUAAAGCGUCCGCAGGUGGUUUUGAAAGUCUGCUGUUAAAGCGUGCGGCUUAACCGCAUAAGGGCAGUGGAAACUAUGAGACUAGAGUGCGUUAGGGGCAGAGGGAAUUCCCAGUGUAGCGGUGAAAUGCGUAGAGAUUGGGAAGAACACCGGUGGCGAAGGCGCUCUGCUAUACCGUAACUGACACUGAGGGACGAAAGCUAGGGGAGCGAAUGGGAUUAGAUACCCCAGUAGUCCUAGCCGUAAACGAUGGAUACUAGGCGUUGUCUGUAUCGACCCGGACAGUGCCGUAGCUAACGCGUUAAGUAUCCCGCCUGGGGAGUACGCAGGCAACUGUGAAACUCAAAGGAAUUGACGGCUGAGAGNGCCGAGGACGACGACGAGGGAGGAGG